rnacentral:pre_miRNA from 1 species
AUUUGAAUCACCUGGGGAUCUUGUUAAACUGCAGAUUCUGAUUCAGUAGGGCUGGGGUGGGGCCUGGGAUCCUUCUUUUCUAACAAGCUUCCAGGUGAUACCGAU